GUCUUCAAGGCUCAGCCACGUUGCUGCUCUUGCAGAGUUUCACUCCUUUUCAAGGCUGAAUAAUACUCCAGCGUAUGUGUCUACCACAGGGCGUUCAUCCGUGUGUCCAUCAGGGGACAUCUGCUUGCUUUCGCUUUGGGCUACUGCAGGUUUUGUGCCAGGCACCGUCGCAAGCUCCACGGGUGCGUUAUUGUGUGUAACCUCACUACAAGCGAAUUUGGGAAUAUCGUUCCCAUUUUCCAGGUGAGAAAGCAGGCUCUCUUCAAGACCCAUGACCUACAAAGUGGCAGGGAGGAAUGUGAGAGGGGCCUGGCUGACCCCACUGAGCUGCCCUGCAUUUCCGGCAGCGGAGGCCUAUGGGAAGGCAGGGAGCAGUGCCCAUCUGGCCCUGGGAGGGCUGUGUGUCUCACACAUUCCCUGUGCUCCUCUGUCACACUCCCCCCUUCCUCUUACUUCCUUCCUUUCCCCGGUCUCUCCUUUCUGAUCCUGAGCCAUUAAAUGUCUCCUGCCUGCCAGCCAAGAUCUGAUAAAUUCUUAGCACCUCAGUGAGAACGGCUCCCUUCCCAGGAGGAUUUUCGUUUUCAAAGGCAUAAACUAGAAGAAAAGUGCCCAGAAAGACCCUUUGGAGAGUCACCCCUGGAGAUACGACUGGGAGAGUGCAAUCUAACCUGGGUGAUAUGACCCAACCACUCCUUUGUUAAUACAAUUCUACAAACUGAGCAUCUACUAUGUGCCAGGCACUGUUCCAAGCAUCUUACACAGAUUCACUCACCUAAGCCUCCCAACCACCACUGGGCCCAUUGAGAGAUGGAGAAACUGAGCCUCCGAGAAGUCAGAUCACCAACUCAGACAGACUCCCACCACUGUGAAGUGGUCCAGACACGAUCCCGGCUCAUGGGCACUGGAUCCAAAGCCUGCACUUAGCUGCUGCCUCACACUGCCUACAGUAUUCUCCUACAGGAAUUUAGAGACAGAUAUACAUGCUAGAUACAUGGAUGGAUGGAUGGAUGGACGGACAGACAAAUAAAGAGUUGGGUGAAGGCAAAGGAGAGGCUUUUGCUCCAUCCCUGACUUUUACUUACUUGUAAAGUAGCUGACCAUCAACAUCAGCCUCCUCCAGCUCUCACCCACCCCUCCCCUGGAAAGGAAGUCUCGGUUGUCUGUUCCUUCGCACCUCUCACCACCACCAAUCCAUUGUGCGCUUUCUCUGGGAAAGAGUCCCCGUGGUGCUGCCCCCUGUGGCCUACACCACCAGGGCAGCCUUGACCUCUGGCUUUCAGAGGACACAGCCAAUGGAAGGACCAGCAAGGGCCAAAGGGUGCCCGAUUGCUGGCAGUUUCCACAUCCUCCUGUGGCCAUGCACCCUGCUCUGUAGCCCGCUUCAAGGCUACAGCCUCUCCAAAUGGAAUCCCUCUGCCUUCCUGGCAUCCUUAGGGCAUGCACGUCCUUCAGCCGUUGCUGGCCUCGAAGCGCCACACCACUGCGUAUUUGUUCCUUCACUCUACCCACACCUCUGUGAUGUUCCCUUCUCUUCAUUUAGAUCUUCCCUGCCAGCUCUGCAGACUCUCUUAAAACGUUCAGAGAACGGAUGGGGAAGAGGGCUGUGUCUGCUGGAUCCUAUAAACACAUGGACAAACACAUACAUAUACAGACACAUACACGCACACGUAUGCACACACAGUGCACAUGCACGCGGACAUGUGCACAUGUGUAUACAUAUGUACACAUGUGUGCACGUACACACAUGUGUGCAAACCCAUGUACUCGCAUGUGCACGUGCACACACAUAUAUGUGCACAUGCGUGCAUACACACACACCCUCAAAUACCAGGAGAACACAGCCCAGAUGCUCACAGUGGUUUUCUCUGGGCAACAGGAUUAUAAGUGAUUGUUUUUUUUUAUUAAUGCGUUUCUGGAUUUUCUAUGAUAUUCAUGACUCUAAAACUUUGUGUGUUCUCUCUGUUUUCAAAGAAAUGCUGAUCUAUGGGUGAGAAGGCAGAGCCAAUGGUGGGGGAGAAAGCUGCAAAUAUAUUGAGGGGGCAGAGUUCUUGUUUCCCCUGCACAUAUACUGGUGGGAGAGGACUCCCCUGCCUUUGCAAAGACCCCCACCCCCUUCGCAAGCCCUCCUACGGCCCACCUCUGCUCCGAACCCACCUCUGCUUUCUCACCAAGGCUACCUUGAGGCCUUGAGAUUAGGAAAGGCUCUUAAGAGCCCUUCCAUGCCUCUGAGAUGACCAGAAGUGUCAGCUAGCCCUCUGCCUGGACCCCUGUCCCCCAGUAGCCUCCCCACUCAGGUGUUGAAGCCUCCCCAGCCCCCUGCUUUCCAUCUGUGGGAGGAGACCCUGGACUUUCCAGGCAGUGAGAAAAAUGUGUGUCCCACAAACCGGGUCCUGACUUCCUUAUUCUCCCCGUCGCCCCACCCCCACCCCUACAAGAGCUCCAUUCAAUCGUCUCUCAGGACCUGCCCUGAGAUCUGAGACACUCUCAGGCAACAAUAGCAGGUCAGAUGGAAAAGUAUUUAUUAACGUUUCAAAUAGAGGAGUUCUAGAAAGGCAACCCUAAAGAAGGCCUUUCAUGGCAGCAUUUCAGGCAGUGGUCAGGGCAGUCUGUUGAGAAACGGAGGGUGUCACGCUUCCCUUGCUGCCCUCCCGCCAGAACAGAACCAACUUUCUAUUGCAUUUCAAAGCAGGGCCAACCCAGGUCAGCCAGGUCACUGCCCAUGGCUACCUCCGAGGAGAAGCUAAUCUAACAAGGAUCUAGCAGCACCAGAGGGAGGAACCGGUUAUUGAGAUGUAAAAUUGGGUUAAAGUAAAUGAGUCCAGCCCUCUGCUCUACUCCCCAGCCCUGAGGAACCUCUGAGGUAGCUGCAGUGGACAGACCCUGUGGGUGGUAAACAGACCCAAGCCCAGAAGUUUAAAAUUCCUAUGUUCUGCGCCUAGCCGGCUCCUAAUCUGCUGUGUGAUGUUAGGCAGAAUUCUAAACCUCUCCGAGCCUUGUGACACGGCUGGCAACAUGAAGAGCUUGGACUGGGUGGAUCUAAAGCCUCCUCCAGCUCCAAUAUGCUGUGAUGUCCCCUGCCCUUCCCUCUUCCACCCCCUUCCUCACUCCCUUUCCCUCACACACAGACACACACACACACACACACACACACACACACACACACCAGUCCCAAAGAUCGAAUCCAAGAGAAAGGCAGAGUUUGGGUCAACUCAGUCCAGAGACUUCUGGAAACUGCAAUGAACCUGCAGCUUGUAUUUGGCCAACUGUCUUAGGGACUGAAAGAGCUUCUCUUCCCAGGUCAACCAAAGGUCCAGGCCUAGAUAAAAGGACUGCCCCACGCUCAGUGAGUUGAGUUGCUCAGCCCGCGUCCAGGAUGAACCAAGGCUCCUCGCUGACGCUCCAGUUUCAAAACAAAGCUUUGAAAGAGAACUGCAUUCAGUGGAAAAUCCCCCAGUAACAAGGCCCCUGGGAGCAUUCUGGGAACACCAUCUGUCAAGCAGCAUCAUUCCCACAACCUGUGACCAGAACAGCCUUUCAGUGUCAAUACCAAUCACGAUCAUCACAUCCUGUGUCUUUAGACAGUGGUCCUGGACCCUGUAAAGCCCUUCAUCCGGACUCAGUUUGGCCUCAUACAACUCUCUGAAUGAUGCACAGAUUUGGGGACCACUCUCCACCAUGCCAUCUGCACAGAAUCUGGGAAUCCUGGAAACUGCAGGCUUAGAAGGACCAUCAGAGCUCCAGGAGGGCACUCACCUGCCCAGCGCAAGUUGUCUCUCCGAGGCGUCCACAACCGCUGAGGAUACGGAUGGUGACGCAGUGACAGAGACCACCAGUAGUCACAGCUUGAAUGGAGGAGCAGCAUCGUUCUCACAAAACACUCCAGGGCUGAUAGGGCAGCUCCUUAGGCUUGGGGACACAGGACUCUUCUGCUUGAAUUUGUAGGGUCUACUGACGUUUGGGCACCGCAGGAAGCAGACUCCAAGCUGGAGGUCAGCGUGCAGGAUCCACACCUGUGGAAAGGGGUACCGGCUGGAUUGAGCAGAGGGAGGAGUCGGGCUGUGACACGGGCACGGCCAAGGCUUCAGCCGACCCCUUGGAGACCCCUGAGGCUGUGAUAUCCUUUCAGGGUUUUUCAAACUGAGACGAGGGAGCCAAGCCUUUACACACACACACAAGGACUAGCCGUUGGAUACUGGCUGCCCGUGGGAGUGGGUAUGACCUUGGUCCAGAAGACUCUCUUCAGCUGAGGGCGAUUCUCCGCAUUGGCUGAUAGCUGAGGGUGGGCAGCUGUGGGAAUGAGCCCUUUGCUCCUGAAAAGGUAAUCUCAGCAGCACAUCACAGCACCCACUAUGAGACUGUUACAUGUUGAAUUGUGCUCCACCCUCCCAAAAAAAAAAUCCAUAUGUUGAAGUUCUAACCCCCAGUACCUCGGAAUGUAAACUGAUUUGGAAAUAGA